rnacentral:tRNA from 1 species
GGUAACGUAGUUUAAGUUAAAAUUCCUAUCUUACACGUAGGAGAUGGAUUUGUGUUCUGUUAUCA